CGAUGAACCAGCUUCGGUGGGGAUUAGUGGCGAACGGGUGAGUAACACGUGGGCAAUCUGCCCUUCACUCUGGGACAAGCCCUGGAAACGGGGUCUAAUACCGGAUACCACUCUCACAGGCAUCUGUGGGGGUUGAAAGCUCCGGCGGUGAAGGAUGAGCCCGCGGCCUAUCAGCUUGUUGGUGAGGUAACGGCUCACCAAGGCGACGACGGGUAGCCGGCCUGAGAGGGCGACCGGCCACACUGGGACUGAGACACGGCCCAGACUCCUACGGGAGGCAGCAGUGGGGAAUAUUGCACAAUGGGCGAAAGCCUGAUGCAGCGACGCCGCGUGAGGGAUGACGGCCUUCGGGUUGUAAACCUCUUUCAGCAGGGAAGAAGCGAAAGUGACGGUACCUGCAGAAGAAGCGCCGGCUAACUACGUGCCAGCAGCCGCGGUAAUACGUAGGGCGCAAGCGUUGUCCGGAAUUAUUGGGCGUAAAGAGCUCGUAGGCGGCUUGUCACGUCGGGUGUGAAAGCCCGGGGCUUAACCCCGGGUCUGCAUUCGAUACGGGCUAGCUAGAGUGUGGUAGGGGAGAUCGGAAUUCCUGGUGUAGCGGUGAAAUGCGCAGAUAUCAGGAGGAACACCGGUGGCGAAGGCGGAUCUCUGGGCCAUUACUGACGCUGAGGAGCGAAAGCGUGGGGAGCGAACAGGAUUAGAUACCCUGGUAGUCCACGCCGUAAACGGUGGGAACUAGGUGUUGGCGACAUUCCACGUCGUCGGUGCCGCAGCUAACGCAUUAAGUUCCCCGCCUGGGGAGUAC
rnacentral:rRNA from 1 species